AAUCACAGCAUUUUAAAAGAAAAGGAUUCAAAAUGACAAGAGCCAUGAAGGUUGAACACACCAAGUUCGGUUUUCAAAUUGAUUAUAGGAUUGAAAACAGUAUUUUGACACUUUAACCCCGUGAAAACCCGUCACUUCCCUUUAACUUUGGCUCCUUUUCCGUCUGUCUUUUGUUUGCUUGAGGAGCCAAAACUCUGAAGCUUUAGACAGACUGAGGCUGGGUUUUGCGACCGGAAGCGACAACAUGACCAGGUCAUCAAUUAUCGGAGAGUCUGCUGUGUGCUGUAAUCAAGCUGCAGAUCCGCCUCAGCUGUUGCGGGAGCAGCGGCCCCCCCGCCCUCCGUCGGUACACGCAACAACAGGGCCGGCCCAAAGUCAGAUAUGGCCCUCAUCAGAAUUUACACGUCACGCCAUUACCUGAAAAGCUGUGAAUAAAAAACAUCUCCUGUAGCAGCCUGUGUUACAGCGAAUCUGAAGAAACCCUGACUGAAGAUGCUCCGUUUCAUGAAGAGGAUGGUCAGGGUUGUCCAUCAUUUUCUUUGUUUUAUGUACAAUUAUUUUUGAUAUUAUUUAACCAUGGAAUAAAAAAACAUGAACUGCAUUGUUUGAUAACCAGGCUGAAGCUGGAACAUUGUCAUGUAACUUUAAAUCACUCUGUGAUCAGGUCUCAUUAAAAUCUCUCUCUAAAGUGCUUUAAGGAAACUUGUCUUGUGAAUUAGAGCCAUAAUGUGAAGUGAACUGAAUUGACUGUCAGCAUACUUUUGGGGGGGAUGAUUUACUUGAAGUAUUUUUAUAGAUAUUUCUUACAUUUGCAAGUUUUCUGGCAUUGAAAAUGUAGGCUAUAAAGGGACAGGAAAUAAUCCUACAGUAAUUUCCUUUUUCUUUACUUUGUAAUAAAACCAACUUCUUUACUGAA